GACCAGACUCCUACGGGAGGCAGCAGUGGGGAAUAUUGCACAAUGGGGGGAACCCUGAUGCAGCGACGCCGCGUGGGCGAGGAAGUAUUUCGGUAUGUAAAGCCCUAUCGGCAGGGAAGAAGAAAUGACGGUACCUGAAUAAGAAGCACCGGCUAAAUACGUGCCAGCAGCCGCGGUAAUACGUAUGGUGCAAGCGUUAUCCGGAUUUACUGGGCGUAAAGGGAGCGCAGGCGGCGCGCCAAGUCUGAUGUGAAAGGUGUGGGCACAACCCGCACACUGCAUUGGGAACUGUAUGGCUAGAGUGUCGGAGGGGCAGGCGGAAUUCCUGGUGUAGCGGUGAAAUGCGUAGAUAUCGGGAGGAACACCGGUGGCGAAGGCGGCCUGCUGGACUGCGACUGACGUUGAGGCCCGAAAGCGUGGGGAGCAAACAGGAUUAGAUACCCUCGUA
rnacentral:rRNA from 1 species